rnacentral:rRNA from 1 species
CUGGUAGUUCACGCUGUAAACGAUGUCGAUUUGGAGGUUGUUUCCUUGAGGAGUGGCUUCCGGAGCUAACGCGUUAAAUCGACCGCCUGGGGAGUACGGCCGCAAAGGUAAAACUCAAAUGAAUUGACGGGGGCCCGCACAAGCGGUGGAGCAUGUGGUUUAAUUCGAUGCAACGCGAAGAACCUUACCUACUCUUGACAUCCAGAGAAUUUAGCAGAGAUGCUUUAGUGCCUUCGGGAACUCUGAGACAGGUGCUGCAUGGCUGUCGUCAGCUCGUGUUGUGAAAUGUUGGGUUAAGUCCCGCAACGAGCGCAACCCUUAUCCUUUGUUGCCAGCACAUUAUGGUGGGAACUCAAAGGAGACUGCCGGUGAUAAACCGGAGGAAGGUGGGGAUGACGUCAAGUCAUCAUGGCCCUUACGAGUAGGGCUACACACGUGCUACAAUGGCGUAUACAAAGAGAAGCGACCUCGCGAGAGCAAGCGGAACUCAUAAAGUACGUCGUAGUCCGGAUUGGAGUCUGCAACUCGACUCCAUGAAGUCGGAAUCGCUAGUAAUCGUAGAUCAGAAUGCUACGGUGAAUACGUUCCCGGGCCUUGUACACACCGCCCGUCACACCAUGGGAGUGGGUUGCAAAAGAAGUAGGUAGCUUAACCUUCGGGAGGGCGCUUACCACUUUGUGAUUCAUGACUGGGGUGAAGUCGUAACAAGGUAACCA